CCAAUAGCGUAUAUUAAAGUUGUUGCAGUUAAAAAGCUCGUAGUUGAACUUCGGGAUCAAUGGGUCGGUCAUGCCGUCGGUAUGUACUGAUUUUAUUGGUUCUCACCUUCUAAGGAACCGUAAUGUCAUUAGUUUGAUGUUGCGGGGAAUUAGGACUGUUACCUUGAAAAAAUUAGAGUGUUUAAAGCAGGCUAACGCUUGAAUACAUUAGCAGGGAAUAAUGAAAUAGGACAUCAGAUUCUAUUUUGUUGGUUUCUAGGAUCGAUGUAAUGAUUAAUAGGGAUAGUUGGGGGCAUUAGUAUUCAAUUGUCAGAGGUGAAAUUCUUGGAUUUAUUGAAGACUAACUACUGCGAAAGCAUUUGCCAAGGAUGUUUUCAUUAAUCAAGAACGAAAGUUAGGGGAUCGAAGACGAUCAGAUACCGUCGUAGUCUUAACCAUAAACUAUGCCGACUAGGGAUCGGAUGAUGUUAAUUUUUUAAUGACUCAUUCGGCACCUUACG
rnacentral:misc_RNA from 1 species